ACAAACAGCCUUACAUUAGUUUUAGUCAGAUCUGGCUGCCCAGUAAGAUGUGGUGCCAAACUUACUGAAAACGUUUUGGUUUUCAUAGCUUUCUGGCUUUCAGAGUUAAGAUAAGGGAUUGUGGGCCUGUACCACAGUAUUAGUAACAUGAAUAUUGUUAAAACUUAAUACAAUUUAACUUAAAAUAAAAGACAGUACCAAGUUCGUAGGGAAUUUAAACAUGUUUUAUUGUCAGAGGAUGUCAUUAGAUGAAACUCCCCAUCUCAUUACAUAGCUCCCACAAAAUCUUUACAAAAAAAUUAGCCUCUUGGAGAGGCGUGAAGUUACUGAAAGAGAAAACACGUCACAUUCCAAAUCUGCAAGUUCUUUUAAGUAUGAACUAGCGUGCACGCUGGACUACAAAGUAAUUCGUGGAAGGGAUUCCCUCAUCACAGGUUACAUAAUUUCACCCACAACAUAGAAAAGGUUUAUAUUACUAAACCACUAGGAUCAGUAGAACUGACAACGUACAGAAAACGAUCUAAAUAUGCAUUAAGCAGUUAGGGUCCCGGGUCAAACUCUUGCAAAGGAAAAAAAUCACUUUCUUUCUACCUAAGGCGGGUUCUCCGUAGCUGUCCAGGCUGGUGGUCACUAGACCAAGAGCAGCUGCCCAACUACAGAGAAGCAAACUCCAACUCCCAGUAGCCCCUGCGCGGAGGCGGGGCGGGGAUUUGCCAGGCCCCGAAAUGCCAACGCCUGAGCUCGCGGAGGAUGGCGGGAACUGGAAGAGCGGCGGUCUGCAGCCCUCCCCUCAUACCCUUGCCCCCGCGACCCGGCCCCUUCUCAAGCCCUCUGCACGCUUAGGCCAAAGUGCCAUAAUACUGUCACAAUUUGCUGAGGGAUCUGCACAGCGCGAUCCGAAGACUUGUCCAUUCUACGACGGUUCUUGUUGAGUGUCAGCGGUAGAUUAUUUUUUUGUCUUUAAGAAGAAGAAAAAACCCCCAAAAAACUCCAUUGGAAUAAAGACAGUUGUUAAUCCACAAAAGCAUUUUGUUUCUCAUGAGUUACCAUGAAGUCUCUGCAGCCGACUUCCUUGGAGAUUUUUUAAAGGAACACAAGGUCAGCUUUCAGUUUUCCAUGUUAAGCGUGGGCAGCAUAGAUAAGUAAAAGCUGCCUGCAAUCUCCAACCCUCCUUUGUAAAGGGCUUGUGCUCUGGAGGCUGUUAGCCAUGGUUUUCCUUAUAAACCGAGAGACUGGUCAGUAUCUCUGAACCUCAGCCUCCACAUCUGUAAAACGGGCAUUUUACUCACUUUUCUGGGUAAUUGUAAACCAUAAAAGGAUAAAACAGUGUACACUGCACAGUUCAGAUUCUCUCAUGUAACAGGUACAGAGCAAAUUAUAGUUCCCUUUCUUCCCCAGAUAGAUUCCUACAGCGAAUUUUACUUCUUUACAAAAUCUUCCAGAGACAGGUCAAAUACUGUUGCAAUAACUGUUAACAACCAAAAUAUCAAUUUCAAGAUGUCCAAGCUUUAAUUGACAGAGUUAUUUAAUCAGUUGGAUGGAAAAAAAUCUUAAAUGAUAUAAAAUAAUUUGGACGGGUCUUUCAAGUUUAUUGUAUAGAAAUUGAACUAUUGGCCUGAUACAGUUGCUCACAUCUAUAAUCCCAGCAGUUUGGGAGGCCAAGGCAGGUGGAUAGCUUGAGCCCGGGAGUUGGAGACUAGCCUGGGCAACAUAGCAAGACCCUGUCUCAAAAAUAAAUUAAUUAAUUAAAAUUUAGAAAAAACGAAAUUGAACUGUUCUG
rnacentral:lncRNA from 1 species